rnacentral:rRNA from 1 species
UACGGGGGGGGCAAGCGUUGUUCGGAAUUACUGGGCGUAAAGGGCGCGUAGGCGGCCUUCUACGUCGGACGUGAAAUCCCUCGGCUUAACCGAGGAACUGCGUCCGAUACUGAAAGGCUUGAAUCCGGUAGAGGGAUGUGGAAUUCCAGGUGUAGCGGUGAAAUGCGUAGAUAUCUGGAGGAACACCGGUGGCGAAGGCGGCAUCCUGGACCGGCAUUGACGCUGAGGCGCGAAAGCUAGGGGAGCAAACGGG